rnacentral:rRNA from 1 species
GACGAACGCUGGCGGCGUGCUUAACACAUGCAAGUCGAACGGAAAGGCCCUGCUUUUGUGGGGUGCUCGAGUGGCGAACGGGUGAGUAACACGUGAGUAACCUGCCCUUGACUUUGGGAUAACUUCAGGAAACUGGGGCUAAUAUCGGAUAGGAGCUCCUGCUGCAUGGGGGGGGUUGGAAAGUUUCGGCGGUUGGGGAUGGACUCGCGGGUUAUCAGCUUGUUGGUGGGGUAGUGGCUUACCAAGGCUUUGACGGGUAGCCGGCCUGAGAGGGUGACCGGCCACAUUGGGACUGAGAUACGGCCCAGACUCCUACGGGAGGCAGCAGUGGGGAAUAUUGCACAAUGGGCGGAAGCCUGAUGCAGCAACGCCGCGUGCGGGAUGACGGCCUUCGGGUUGUAAACCGCUUUCGCCUGUGACGAAGCGUGAGUGACGGUAAUGGGUAAAGAAGCACCGGCUAACUACGUG